UACGGAGGGUGCGAGCGUUGUCCGGAAUCACUGGGCGUAAAGGGCGCGUAGGUGGCGGAGCAAGUCAACGGUGAAAGCUCGACGCUCAACGUCGAGUCGGCCGUCGAUACUGCUUGCUCGAGCACUGUAGAGGCAGAUGGAAUUCCGGGUGUAGCGGUGGAACGCGUAGAGAUCAGGAGGAACACCGGUGGCGAAGGCGGGUCUCUGGGCCGAAACUGACGCUGGAGGAGCGAAAGCAUGGGGAGCGAAGCAGG
rnacentral:rRNA from 1 species